rnacentral:rRNA from 1 species
GGACUCGAGAUCACUCCAACCCAUGUGAACGUUACCAAACUGUUGCCUCGGCGGGAUCUCUGCCCCGGGUGCGUCGCAGCCCCGGACCAAGGCGCCCGCCGGAGGACCAACCAAAACUCUUUUUGUAUACCCCCUCGCGGGUUUUUUAUAAUCUGAGCCUUCUCGGCGCCUCUCGUAGGCGUUUCGAAAAUGAAUCAAAACUUUCAACAACGGAUCUCUUGGUUCUGGCAUCGAUGAAGAACGCAGCGAAAUGCGAUAAGUAAUGUGAAUUGCAGAAUUCAGUGAAUCAUCGAAUCUUUGAACGCACAUUGCGCCCGCCAGUAUUCUGGCGGGCAUGCCUGUCCGAGCGUCAUUUCAACCCUCGAACCCCUCCGGGGGGUCGGCGUUGGGGAUCGGCCCUGCCUCUUGGCGGUGGCCGUCUCCGAAAUACAGUGGCGGUCUCGCCGCAGCCUCUCCUGCGCAGUAGUUUGCACACUCGCAUCGGGAGCGCGGCGCGUCCACAGCCGUUAAACACCCAACUUCUGAAAUGUUGACCUCGGAUCAGGUAGGAAUACCCGCUGAACUUAAGCAUAUCAAUAAGCGGAGGAACAUAUCAAUAAGCGGAGGGAGCAUAUUAAUAAGCCGGAGGAGCUAUAUCAAUUAGCGGAGGAGCCUUUUUAUUGAGGGAAGCCCACACUCCACCGAG